rnacentral:misc_RNA from 1 species
GAUGAAGAACGUAGUGAAAUGCGAUAAGUAAUGUGAAUUGCAGAAUUCAGUGAAUCAUCGAAUCUUUGAACGCACAUUGCGCCCCCUGGUAUUCCGGGGGGCAUGCCUGUCCGAGCGUCAUUACAACCCUCAAGCUCAGCUUGGUGUUGGGCCCCGCCGCCCCGGCGGGCCCUAAAGUCAGUGGCGGUGCCGUCCGGCUCCGAGCGUAGUAAUUCUUCUCGCUCUGGAGGUCCGGUCGUGUGCUCGCCAGCAACCCCCAAUUUUUUUCAGGUUGACCUCGGAUCAGGUAGGGAUACCCGCUGAACUUAAGCAUAUAAUAAGCGGAGGA